UCGCCUGUUUUAUCAAAAACAUCGCCAGAAUUUAUUUUUGGUAAAAUCUGCCCAGUGAAAAAAUUUAACGGCCGCAGUAUCUUAACUGUGCUAAGGUAGCGAAAUCAUUAGUCUUUUAAUUGAAGACCUGUAUAAAAGAUCUGACGCAAGGUUAUCUUUUUGAAUUAGAACAUGAAAUUACUAAAGCAGUAAAAAAGCUGCUAAAAUUUAAAAGGACGACAAGACCCUGCAAAGCUUUAUUUUUUAAAAAGAAAUAAAAUUUCAAUUCUUACUAUUUUUUUUAAAAAAUUUACUGGGGCGGUAAAUUAAUUAGCAACACAAUUCAAUCUAACAGUAUGACUGACAUUUUCGACCAAUUUGAAACAAUUAAUUUUUAGUUACUUCAGGGAUAACAGCAUAAUUUUUUUUAAGAGCUCUUAUCAACAAAAAAGAUUAUGACCUCGAUGUUGAAUUGAAAAUUCUUUUUGGAGCAGCCUCUAAAAAAGAAAGUCUGUUCGACUUUAAAAAUUUUACAUGAUUUGAUUCCAAACCGGA
rnacentral:rRNA from 1 species